ensembl:lncRNA
CUUCUCCGCCCUCCGCCGCCGCUCCGCUCCACGGGCCCAACCGGGCCACGGACCGGUCCCGCCGAGCUCCGCUCCCGCGGGUGAAGGCACCAGCCCGCUCCGUCUGGGCACCCGCCGUCCUGCCCGUCCGAGCCCGCGCCGCCGGUUCAGUCCCGCGGCCCAUCUCGGUCGCCUUCCGACUCACCCCACCCCGCCGCGCUGGCCGUGCUGUCCCCGACGGACCCCCCCUGGACAUCGGGGCACCUGCGCUGCCCGUGGGGUGGGGCAAAGGGAGGCGACCACCGCGUCCCCGGCCCGUCGGGACGGGAGGCUGGAGAUCGCACUCCGGGCUCCCUCGCCCGGUGCCAGUGGCCCGGGGCCCGGUGCCAGCCUUGAGUGACCCGGUCUUGCGUGGACUAAACCAGCCACGACCACGGCUGCUGCGUGCGCGGGGCGCGAAGGGCAGCGGGGCGAUCCCGGUGGGAAGGAGCCGCCGGCGGCGACCGGGCAUCCUGGGACCUGUCCCGCUGCCGGGCGCGGCGGGCAGCGGGGCCCCGGUCCGGGGGGGCCGGCAGCCCCGGCGCAACGGGGGCCCGUUCCCAAGGCUCCCGCUCUGUCUCUGCUUUGGGAAAACGCCAGCACGGUAACAAAAUGGCGGGGAAAGGGUGGGAUUGUCACGGCGAGCCCUGCAACGCAGCCCCACUGGCCCCCGGCACCGCCCGGCCGGUCUCUGGGCGUCCGUACCGGCGGCGGGCAGCGGGACAGGGGGGGCCCCCCCGGGCCGUACCGCCGCCCGGCCCCGCCGCCCGGCAGAGCUCCGGUGGAGACGCAGCUGCAGAAAAUGGCUGCUCGGCGGAGCCCGCUGAAUCCUGACAUGAAGGGGGGGAACGGGGACGGCAAGAAAACGGCGCAACCCCCCGACACCGGCCGCAGCCCCCACCGGGGAGCCCCGGGGCGGGCGGGGCGGGGGGCGGGCGGAGGCUGCGCGAGGCGGUGGGACCCGGCACCGGGUGGAGCCUCCGCGGUGGGGCCUCACCUGCGGCGCGGCGGGAGGGGGCACGGGGCAGCCCGCCCCGAUCGCGAACAGUUCCCUGCGGCGCCGGGACGGCAGCCCCCGCCCAGUGCCCGCCGGGGCGGCGGGGCGGGACGGGCACCCCCGGAAUGCCCCGCGGCCGCGCCCGGUUUAAAGAAAAAAUAAAAAAUAAAAUAAAAAUGAAAUAAAAGAAAUAAA